UACGGAGGGUGCGAGCGUUGUCCGGAAUCACUGGGCGUAAAGGGCGCGUAGGUGGCGCGAGAAGUCAACGGUGAAAGCUCGGGGCUCAACCCCGAGUCGGCCGUCGAUACUCUUGGGCUUGAGCACUGUAGGGGCAGGUGGAAUUCCGGGUGUAGCGGUGGAAUGCGUAGAGAUCCGGAAGAACACCGGUGGCGAAGGCGGCCUGCUGGGCAGUAGCUGACACUGAGGCGCGACAGCGUGGGGAGCAAACAGG
rnacentral:rRNA from 1 species